ensembl:snRNA U6 U6 spliceosomal RNA
GUGCUCGCCUUGGCAGCACACAUGCUAAAAUUGGAACAAUACAGAGCGUGCCCCUGUGCAAGGAUGACAUGCACAUUUGAGAAGCAUUCCAUAUUUUU